rnacentral:ncRNA from 1 species
UAUAUACUAUUCUAAUCUAUGCUAAUGUUAUGCUCCUUUGAUGUUACUCGACUUGUAUGGUAGCUAUGAUGCACUUCACCGAACGUCUAAGUUUCUUGCAAGAGCACUAUGGGAGGACUAGUCCUUCCUUCCUUCCUUCCUUCCUUCCUUCCUUCCUGCUCUGAUUUUUCAAUAGGAGUUCAUCUCAGGUGCCAGCAGCCGCGGUAGGUAAUUCCAGCUCCACUAGCGUAUAUUAAAGUUGUUGCAGUUAAAAAGGUCGUAGUUGAAAUAAAUAAAUAAAUAAAUAAAUAAAUAAAUAAAUAAAUAGUGUGUGCGUGUGCGCGCUCGCGUGCGUGCGUGCGUGCGUGCGUGCUUCCUUGCUUGCUUGC